rnacentral:tRNA from 15 species
CGGGUGUAGUUUAAUGGCAAAACCUCAGCCUUCCAAGCUGAUGUUGUGGGUUCGAUUCCCAUCACCC